rnacentral:rRNA from 1 species
GACGAACGCUGGCGGCGUGCUUAACACAUGCAAGUCGAACGGAAAGGCCCUGCUUUUGUGGGGUGCUCGAGUGGCGAACGGGUGAGUAACACGUGAGUAACCUGCCCUUGACUUUGGGAUAACUUCAGGAAACUGGGGCUAAUACCGGAUAGGAGCUCCUGCUGGAUGGGGGGGGUUAGAAAGCGUCGGCGGUUGGGGAUGGACUCGCGGCUUAUCAGCUUGUUGGUGGGGUAGUGGCUUACCAAGGCUUUGACGGGUAGCCGGCCUGAGAGGGUGACCGGCCACAUUGGGACUGAGAUACGGCCCAGACUCCUACGGGAGGCAGCAGUGGGGAAUAUUGCACAAUGGGCGGAAGCCUGAUGCAGCAACGCCGCGUGCGGGAUGACGGCCUUCGGGUUGUAAACCGCUUUCGCCUGUGACGAAGCGUGAGUGACGGUAAUGGGUAAAGAAGCACCGGCUAACUACGUG